UACGUAGGGUGCGAGCGUUAAUCGGAAUUACUGGGCGUAAAGCGUGCGCAGGCGGUUUUGUAAGACAGGUGUGAAAUCCCCGGGCUCAACCUGGGAACUGCAUCUGUGACUGCAUAGCUAGAGUACGGUAGAGGGGGAUGGAAUUCCGCGUGUAGCAGUGAAAUGCGUAGAGAUGUGGAGGAAUACCGAUGGCGAAGGCAGCCCCCUGGGAUGAUACUGACGCUCAUGCACGAAAGCGUGGGGAGCAAACAGG
rnacentral:rRNA from 1 species